rnacentral:rRNA from 1 species
UAGAGUUUGAUCCUGGCUCAGGACGACCUCUGGCGGCGUGCCUAACACAUGCAAGUCGAACGGAGAUGUUAAGGAAGUUUUACUGAAUUAAUGUCUUAGUGGCGGACGGGUGAGUAACGCGUGGGUGACCUACCCAUAAGAGGGGGAUAACAGUUGGAAACGACUGCUAAUACCGCAUAAGCUGAGUAAUCAGUAAAGGAGGCCUCUGAAAAUGCUCCCGCUUAUGGAUGGGCCCGCGUCUGAUUAGCUGGUUGGUGGGGUAAAGGCCUACCAAGGCGACGAUCAGUAGCCGGCCUGAGAGGGUGAACGGCCACACUGGGACUGAGACACGGCCCAGACUCCUACGGGAGGCAGCAGUGGGGAAUAUUGCGCAAUGGGGGAAACCCUGACGCAGCGACGCCGCGUGAGCGAAGAAGGCCUUAGGGUCGUAAAGCUCUGUUUUAAGGGACGAAUGUCGCGGGUAAUAAUACGAUCUGCGAAUGACGGUACCUUAAGAGGAAGCCCCGGCUAACUACGUGCCAGCAGCCGCGGUAAGACGUAGGGGGCGAGCGUUGUCCGGAAUUACUGGGCGUAAAGAGCACGUAGGCGGGAUUUUAAGUCAGGUGUGAAAGACCGUGGCUCAACCACGGGGUUGCACUUGAAACUGGGAUUCUUGAGGGCAGGAGAGGAAAGUGGAAUUCCUGGUGUAGCGGUGAAAUGCGUAGAAAUCAGGAGGAACACCGGUGGCGAAGGCGACUUUCUGGACUGACCCUGACGCUGAGGUGCGAAAGCGUGGGUAGCAAACAAGAGUAGAUACCCUGGUAGUCCACGCUGUAAA